rnacentral:tmRNA from 1 species
GGGGGCGACAGGUUUCGACGGGGAUAGACAAGACUGGAAUGGCAUACCGCGUGGUUCCGGCAGACGCGUAAAACGGCUGGGAAAAUAGAACUGCGGACUAUAAUUUCGCAACCAACGAACUCGCCUUAGCGGCGUAGUUCCGUUCCGUUACAUCUCGGUUCGUCGGAUGUAUCUGGAGCGCCGACCAGACGAACUCGUCCUUGCCAAUGGUCUCGGAGCGGCAGGGAUUAAAUAUCUACGAGAUGCGCUGUGUUAGGAGCUUGUGCAUGGGCGACUAACCAGCUAAGUCUAAAACAUGUACUAUGUAUGUAGAAGUUCCAGUUGCGAUAUUUCCGGACGCGGGUUCGAGUCCCGCCGCCUCCACCA